UACGUAGGGCGCAAGCGUUAUCCGGAAUUAUUGGGCGUAAAGAACUCGUAGGCGGUUUGGUUAGUCGGAUGUGAAAUCUCCAGGCUCAACCUGGAGGGGUCAUUCGAUACUGCCAUGACUAGAGGUCGGUAGGGGAGUGUGGAAUUCCUGGUGGAGCGGUGAAAUGCGCAGAUAUCAGGAGGAACACCCGUAGCGAAGGCGGCACUCUGGGCCGAUACUGACACUGAGGAGCGAAAGCGUGGGGAGCGAACAGG
rnacentral:rRNA from 1 species